CUGUCUAUGAUAAAUACGGGUUCCACCUAAAUCGGGAGCAUGGCCGCUCUCAGGCCUCAGGCUUCUCUCUGUUUGCAUACUGUAGUAAGCUUGUUUGUGUGACGUAUGGAAAUUUGUCAAAGCAUGUGCCAAGGAAUUUAUUAUCGAGUUUGAAAGUUAAAUGGCACGAUUAAAUGCAAGGAAGAAUGAUGCUCGAUCAACAUUAAAUCUGUGAGAUUUUUAAUGAAGUGAAAAAGUAGUUUUCGAGAAGAUCGCCGAUAAAGUGAAAAGAAAACUGUAGGUUACGUGUUGUUGAUACCAUGGCACAAUCAACAACAAGCGGAACUUCCUCACGACGAUAUAUGAGGGAACACGAAGUGCCUUCCUCAUCACGUUAUAUGGACAGCGAAUGGGAGUCCAAGGAGGCUUUGCGACAAAGAGAACUUGAAGAGGCAAGAGCACGAGCUGCACAAAUGGAAAAAACAAUGCGAUGGUGGUCAGAUUGUACUGCUAAUUGGCGUGAAAAAUGGAGCAAAGUUCGGAAUGAGAGAAAUGCAGCUAGAGAUGAAGCAAAAGCUCUAAGGGCAAAAUUAGAAAUUGCUGUUAAAGAUGCUAAUACUUUCAAACAUGACUAUCAAGAAUUGGAAUUGCAAAAUGAACAAUUGAAGAAGGAGAUGGAAAAAAUACAUAUGAUACUCUUGAAACAUGCUGGGCAGUUUGACCAACAGAUUUUUACUAUUUUAGAAUCAGACCCACAAUUAAGAGCUACUUUUGGAUUAGAUGAACAGUUGGAGUUUUAUAGUAACAUUGAACCUAAUGAUACAUUAAAUACACAAAGGAAUAUAUUAUCUUGUAAAACUUUACACGAAGCAUCAGAUGUUGCUUCGGGAAGUCAUAAUAUCUUGCCAGAAAGGGAUAUUGAGGAGUAUGUUUUGCAAGGUGCAGUGCCAAAACAUGCAGUGGAAUUGUAUAAGGAAAGUCCUAAUAAUUCAUUAGAUAAAAAUAUCACGAAACUAGUCAUGGAUAAUAAUGCUAAAAAAGAUGUACUGGAGAAGCAACAAUUGUCUUUAGAUGUCUAUGACAAAGAAUGCCUGACACAAAAAAUGUCGACAUUGCAACUUAAAUUAGAAGAGGCAACAAAAACUAUUUCUGUGGAAAGGGAGGAAAACAAUUCUCUACAUCGUACUGUGGAAAAAUUGAAAGCUGAACUUAAACAAUUAAGGGAACAAUGUGAGGAACUAUCUGAAAGUAGAGCAGAUACAAUGAAAGAGUUGUCACAGUUAAAAGAACGAUUUCAAUUUGAACUUAAUGAUGAACACAUAGCUGAUUUAAUAGACGACACUAGUAAUGGAGAGGGAAUGGAUCGUCGUUUAAGUGAAUUAAGAACUGAACUAGAAAGACUUCAAGUUGAAAAUGCAGCUGAGUGGAGUAAAAGGGAGAGAUUAGAGACUGAAAAAAUUUCUUUGGAACGAGAAAAUAAGCUGCUUCGUUUAAAAUUAUAUGAAUUGCAAGAAAAAAUGGAAUCACGACGACCACGACCGGUGUCUACAGCUGAUACAGACACGAGGCAAUUACAGCAUGAAAUUCUAGUUCGCAACAUGGUACUGCUUGAAGUAAAGCAGUAUCAAGCGGCGCUAAAACAAUCCUUAGCAGAAAAAACAACAGAAUUAUCACACGCGAUGAGACGGUCCGAGCAAUAUGAAGUAGAGGUGAAACGAGUGAGAGGAAGAGUCGAGGAGUUAAAGAAAGAACUGGCCGCUGCUCAAGAUGAAGUCGAUACUGCUACAAACAGCGUACGAAAAUUACAACGAACCAAUGAAGAUCUUAUGGAACAAUUAGAAUCUGCAAAUGUACAAUUGGAGCAUUUUAGAAAUAGCAAAAACGAAUCGUGUGCAGCAGAUACUGCUGGAGACAGAGCAGGAGAACAAAAAUUCCAAGUAAACAAUUCCGAUGAAUAUGCUGAAGUUUAUGAUCGACAGCAAGCCUAGUAUUCACUCGUGUUGAUAAUAAUGGCAUAUUUAAGUUAAAUAACGAAAAUGCAAAUUGGAUAGAUGAUUUCUCAGCGAGCCUAAAGUACAUAAUUAAAUUUUUUUCAAAUUUAUCCAUUGAGCGUGAUACUUCGACGAAUUGUACAUGUCGAAUAACUAUCGUGAAGAAAAAAAUGAUGUAACGCAUAAUGUUUUACAGAAACGAUUAUAGAAAGUAAUUAUUGUCGUAUCUCGCGAUGAAUAAAUCUCAUUCAACAUUUCAUAGGCGUGCCAUUGGGAUACGUCGGCACUUUUGGUUUGCAAAUCUUCGUUCUGCCAUUGGAACCGUAU
rnacentral:misc_RNA from 1 species